GGAGGAUUGGCCGAACGGCAAGGCGAUAGUUUCGAAAACUAUUAGGGGCAACCCUUAACAGGUUCGACUCCUGUAUCCUCCG
rnacentral:tRNA from 1 species